GGGGAAUAUUGCACAAUGGGCGCAAGCCUGAUGCAGCGACGCCGCGUGGGGGAUGAAGGCCUUCGGGUUGUAAACUCCUUUCAACCAUGACGAAGCAUUAUGUGACGGUAGUGGUAGAAGAAGCACCGGCUAACUACGUGCCAGCAGCCGCGGUAAUACGUAGGGUGCGAGCGUUGUCCGGAAUUACUGGGCGUAAAGAGCUCGUAGGUGGUUUGUCGCGUCGUCUGUGAAAUUCCGGGGCUUAACUCCGGGCGUGCAGGCGAUACGGGCAUAACUUGAGUGCUGUAGGGGAGACUGGAAUUCCUGGUGUAGCGGUGAAAUGCGCAGAUAUCAGGAGGAACACCGAUGGCGAAGGCAGGUCUCUGGGCAGUAACUGACGCUGAGGAGCGAAAGCAUGGGUAGCGAAC
rnacentral:rRNA from 1 species